GCAAGUCGAACGCGAAAGUCCCGCAAGGGAUCAGUAGAGUGGCAAACGGGUGAGUAACGCGUGGGUGACCUGCCUUCGAGCGGGGGAUAACGUUCCGAAAGGGACGCUAAUACCGCAUAACAUCCUGCUUUUUAAGAGGUGGAGAUCAAAGCCGGGGAUCGCAAGACCUGGCACUCGAAGAGGGGCCCGCGUCCGAUUAGCUAGUUGGUGGGGUAAUGGCUCACCAAGGCUCCGAUCGGUAUCCGGCCUGAGAGGGCGGACGGACACACUGGGACUGAGACACGGCCCAGACUCCUACGGGAGGCAGCAGUGGGGAAUUGUUCGCAAUGGGCGCAAGCCUGACGACGCAACGCCGCGUGGAGGAUGAAGAUCUUCGGGUCGUAAACUCCUUUCGAUCGAGACGAACGGCUUCCGGGUGAACAAUCCGGGAGAGUGACGGUACCGAGAGAAGAAGCCCCGGCUAACUCCGUGCCAGCAGCCGCGGUAAUACGGGGGGGGCAAGCGUUGUUCGGAAUUACUGGGCGUAAAGGGCUCGUAGGUGGCCAACUAAGUCAGACGUGAAAUCCCUCGGCUUAACCGGGGAACUGCGUCUGAUACUGGAUGG
rnacentral:rRNA from 1 species